rnacentral:rRNA from 1 species
UAAUACGUAGGGUGCAAGCGUUAAUCGGAAUUACUGGGCGUAAAGCGUGCGCAGGCGGUUUUGUAAGACGGAUGUGAAAUCCCCGGGCUUAACCUGGGAACUGCAUUCGUGACUGCAAGGCUAGAGUAUGGCAGAGGGGGGUAGAAUUCCACGUGUAGCAGUGAAAUGCGUAGAGAUGUGGAGGAAUACCGAUGGCGAAGGCAGCCCCCUGGGCCAAUACUGACGCUCAUGCACGAAAGCGUGGGGAGCAAACAGGAUUAGAUACCCUGGUAGUCCACGCCCUAAACGAUGUCAACUAGUUGUUGGGGAUUCAUUUCCUUAGUAACGUAGCUAACGCGUGAAGUUGACCGCCUGGGGAGUACGGUCGCAAGAUUAAAACUUAAAUGAAUUGACGG